GACGAACGCUGGCGGCGUGCUUAACACAUGCAAGUCGAACGGAGUGGCGAACGGGUGAGUAACACGUGAGUAACCUGCCCUUGACUUCGGGAUAACUUCAGGAAACUGGGGCUAAUACCGGAUAGUUUUGGAUGGACUCGCGGCUUAUCAGCUUGUUGGUGGGGUAGUGGCUUACCAAGGCUUUGACGGGUAGCCGGCCUGAGAGGGCGACCGGCCACAUUGGGACUGAGAUACGGCCCAGACUCCUACGGGAGGCAGCAGUGGGGAAUAUUGCACAAUGGGCGGAAGCCUGAUGCAGCAACGCCGCGUGCGGGAUGACGGCCUUCGGGUUGUAAACCGCUUUCAGCAGGGGCGCGGUACCUGCAGAAGAAGCACCGGCUAACUACGUGCCAGCAGCCGCGGUAAUUC
rnacentral:rRNA from 1 species